GCAUAUCAAUAAGCGGAGGAAAAGAAACUAACAAGGAUUCCCCUAGUAACGGCGAGUGAAGCGGGAAGAGCUCAAAUUUGUAAUCUGGCGGUCCCAGGCCGUCCGAGUUGUAGUCUGGAGAAGCGUCUUCCGUGCCGGACCGUGUACAAGUCCCUUGGAACAGGGCCUCAUAGAGGGUGAGAAUCCCGUCUUUGACACGGACUGCCGGUGCUCUGUGAUGCGCUCUCGAAGAGUCGAGUUGUUUGGGAAUGCAGCUCAAAAUGGGUGGUAAAUUCCAUCUAAAGCUAAAUAUUGGCGAAAGACCGAUAGCGAACAAGUACCGUGAGGGAAAGAUGAAAAGCACUUUGGAAAGAGAGUUAAACAGUACGUGAAAUUGUUGAAAGGGAAACGCUUGAAGUCAGUCGCGUCUUCCAGGACUCAGUCGGACACUCGUGUCUGAUGUACUUCCUGGUGUGACGGGCCAGCAUCGAUUUCGACCAUCGGAGAAAGGCUCUGGGAAUGUGGCACCUUCGGGUGUGUUAUAGCCCUGGGUCGUAUGCGACGGUCGGGAUCGAGGAUCGCAGCACGCCUUCAUUGGCCGGGGUUCGCCCACGCAACGUGCUUAGGAUGCUGGCGUAAUGGCUUUAAGCGACCCGUCUUGAAACACGGACCAAGGAGUCUAACAUGCCUGCGAGUGUUUGGGUGGAAAACCCGGACGCGCAAUGAAAGUGAAAGGUUGGGACCUCUGUCGUGGAGGGCACCGACGCCCGGACCAGACCUUCUGUGACGGUUCCGAGGUAGAGCAUGUAUGUUGGGACCCGAAAGAUGGUGAACUAUGCCUGAGUAGGGUGAAGCCAGAGGAAACUCUGGUGGAGGCUCGUAGCGAUUCUGACGUSCAAAUCGAUCGUCGAACUUGGGUAUAGGGGCGAAAGACUAAUCGAACCAUCUAGUAGCUGGUUCCUGCCGA
rnacentral:rRNA from 1 species